GGAAGCGUCUGGAAAGACGCGCGAUACAGGGUGACAGCCCCGUACACAAAAAUGCACAUGCUGUGAGCUCGAUGAGUAGGGCGGGACACGUGGUAUCCUGUCUGAAUAUGGGGGGACCAUCCUCCAAGGCUAAAUACUCCUGACUGACCGAUAGUGAACCAGUACCGUGAGGGAAAGGCGAAAAGAACCCCGGCGAGGGGAGUGAAAAAGAACCUGAAACCGUGUACGUACAAGCAGUGGGAGCACGCUUAGGCGUGUGACUGCGUACCUUUUGUAUAAUGGGUCAGCGACUUAUAUUCUGUAGCAAGGUUAACCGAAUAGGGGAGCCGAAGGGAAACCGAGUCUUAACUGGGCGUUAAGUUGCAGGGUAUAGACCCGAAACCCGGUGAUCUAGCCAUGGGCAGGUUGAAGGUUGGGUAACACUAACUGGAGGACCGAACCGACUAAUGUUGAAAAAUUAGCGGAUGACUUGUGGCUGGGGGUGAAAGGCCAAUCAAACCGGGAGAUAGCUGGUUCUCCCCGAAAGCUAUUUAGGUAGCGCCUCGUGAAUUCAUCUCCGGGGGUAGAGCACUGUUUCGGCAAGGGGGUCAUCCCGACUUACCAACCCGAUGCAAACUGCGAAUACCGGAGAAUGUUAUCACGGGAGACACACGGCGGGUGCUAACGUCCGUCGUGAAGAGGGAAACAACCCAGACCGCCAGCUAAGGUCCCAAAGUCAUGGUUAAGUGGGAAACGAUGUGGGAAGGCCCAGACAGCCAGGAUGUUGGCUUAGAAGCAGCCAUCAUUUAAAGAAAGCGUAAUAGCUCACUGGUCGAGUCGGCCUGCGCGGAAGAUGUAACGGGGCUAAACCAUGCACCGAAGCUGCGGCAGCGACGCUGAUGCGUUGUUGGGUAGGGGAGCGUUCUGUAAGCCUGUGAAGGUGUGCUGUGAGGCAUGCUGGAGGUAUCAGAAGUGCGAAUGCUGACAUAAGUAACGAUAAAGCGGGUGAAAAGCCCGCUCGCCGGAAGACCAAGGGUUCCUGUCCAACGUUAAUCGGGGCAGGGUGAGUCGACCCCUAAGGCGAGGCCGAAAGGCGUAGUCGAUGGGAAACAGGUUAAUAUUCCUGUACUUGGUGUUACUGCGAAGGGGGGACGGAGAAGGCUAUGUUGGCCGGGCGACGGUUGUCCCGGUUUAAGCGUGUAGGCUGGUUUUCCAGGCAAAUCCGGAAAAUCAAGGCUGAGGCGUGAUGACGAGGCACUACGGUGCUGAAGCAACAAAUGCCCUGCUUCCAGGAAAAGCCUCUAAGCAUCAGGUAACAUCAAAUCGUACCCCAAACCGACACAGGUGGUCAGGUAGAGAAUACCAAGGCGCUUGAGAGAACUCGGGUGAAGGAACUAGGCAAAAUGGUGCCGUAACUUCGGGAGAAGGCACGCUGAUAUGUAGGUGAAGUCCCUCGCGGAUGGAGCUGAAAUCAGUCGAAGAUACCAGCUGGCUGCAACUGUUUAUUAAAAACACAGCACUGUGCAAACACGAAAGUGGACGUAUACGGUGUGACGCCUGCCCGGUGCCGGAAGGUUAAUUGAUGGGGUUAGCCGCAAGGCGAAGCUCUUGAUCGAAGCCCCGGUAAACGGCGGCCGUAACUAUAACGGUCCUAAGGUAGCGAAAUUCCUUGUCGGGUAAGUUCCGACCUGCACGAAUGGCGUAAUGAUGGCCAGGCUGUCUCCACCCGAGACUCAGUGAAAUUGAACUCGCUGUGAAGAUGCAGUGUACCCGCGGCAAGACGGAAAGACCCCGUGAACCUUUACUAUAGCUUGACACUGAACAUUGAGCCUUGAUGUGUAGGAUAGGUGGGAGGCUUUGAAGUGUGGACGCCAGUCUGCAUGGAGCCGACCUUGAAAUACCACCCUUUAAUGUUUGAUGUUCUAACGUUGACCCGUAAUCCGGGUUGCGGACAGUGUCUGGUGGGUAGUUUGACUGGGGCGGUCUCCUCCUAAAGAGUAACGGAGGAGCACGAAGGUUGGCUAAUCCUGGUCGGACAUCAGGAGGUUAGUGCAAUGGCAUAAGCCAGCUUGACUGCGAGCGUGACGGCGCGAGCAGGUGCGAAAGCAGGUCAUAGUGAUCCGGUGGUUCUGAAUGGAAGGGCCAUCGCUCAACGGAUAAAAGGUACUCCGGGGAUAACAGGCUGAUACCGCCCAAGAGUUCAUAUCGACGGCGGUGUUUGGCACCUCGAUGUCGGCUCAUCACAUCCUGGGGCUGAAGUAGGUCCCAAGGGUAUGGCUGUUCGCCAUUUAAAGUGGUACGCGAGCUGGGUUUAGAACGUCGUGAGACAGUUCGGUCCCUAUCUGCCGUGGGCGCUGGAGAACUGAGGGGGGCUGCUCCUAGUACGAGAGGACCGGAGUGGACGCAUCACUGGUGUUCGGGUUGUCAUGCCAAUGGCACUGCCCGGUAGCUAAAUGCGGAAGAGAUAAGUGCUGAAAGCAUCUAAGCACGAAACUUGCCCCGAGAUGAGUUCUCCCUGACCCUUUAAGGGUCCUGAAGGAACGUUGAAGACGACGACGUUGAUAGGCCGGGUGUGUAAGCGCAGCGAUGCGUUGAGCUAACCGGUACUAAUGAACCGUGAGGCUUAACCUU
rnacentral:rRNA from 1 species